UUUCUUUUGUAAUUUUUAUGUUAUUUAUGUUGAAAGUGUGUAUUUUUGUCAUAUUAUAAUUUUACUAAAAGAUUAUAAGUUAAUUCCUAACUAGGAGGCUCUGCCACCUUUACUGGGAUUAAUCUAUAAUCUUUAUUUUAUUAUUUCUUGACAAUUUGAUACUUACAGUUGAAAAUUAUGAAUGUGCAUCUUUUACCCAAUGAUACUUGAGAUAAUUAUUUUAUAUUAGACUAAGAAAGAAUUUAUAUAUAGAUGGUUUAUAUCUAUUGUAAUUAUGUUGGGGUAGAGGGUGUCACAUUUAGUGGUAUCAGAGCAAGUCGAUUUUAUCAACCGUGUGUGUUAUGUGCUUAUCAUGACUCUGUUGUGUACUCUGACUAUGUCUUGUUUGUUGUGUACUAUGAUGAUGAUGUUCGUCCUGUGUUGAUAUUGUUGAGUUUGAGAUUGUUAAGUUAGUUUGUAAUCAGAGGAAUGAUAAUCAUGAUAGUGUUAGCCAACUCGAAUUAUUAGAACCUUGGAUGGGAGGUGAUAUAUUGAGUGUACUAAGAGUUUAUGAUUGGUGAAGUUUCUGACAUCUAUAGUUGUAGCAGGUUGAAUCUAAAGGUGGUUGUCUCUUUGGUGAGAGAUCGAAAUGAUGUUAAUUCCCUUAAGUGUUAUUAUUGGUAUGUUAAUUAUUUAUGGUUUAGGUAGCAUGUGAGUUGUUUUGAUUGAGAAAAGUAAGGAGAGACUUGAAUGAGAAAUUAAGUAGUGAAUUUGGAAAAAGUUGAGGUAUUUUGUGGCAUUAGAUAUAUUGAUACAUUAUUGCUAUUUGGUGUCGAAAAUAUUUUCAUUAUAGUUUGUUAUGAUAGUAUGAGUAUUAUAUCGACAAAAUUUAUAUUUUGAGGUCUUUAUGAAGAAUAUGGCUUUAGAUAUUAUCUUUUCAAUAGAACUAGGAUAAGAUGAAACAAAAAUCUAGAACUUCAAGUUAUGACUGCCUUGGUGAUUAGAAAUUUAGUAAGCACUGAAUUUAUUAGUGGUGAUAUUUGAAUCUUUAGCUAAAGAGAUGAUCUCUUGGAAAUCUUAUGUCUUCAUAAAGAGUUGUAGCUUAUUCACUUAACUUUCGUUUGAGAUAGGUUUGAAAUCACUUGGAUGAAUACAACUCUGUGUGUCAGGUAGAUAUAUGCUAUCAUGAUAUUUUGAGUUGUUAGGCAUAAAAAUAGAUUUAAACUAGAUUGUCUAAGUAUGAAUUUGGAUUGUAUGAGGUGAGUAUUUUAGACCAUGAAAUUUCUUGCGGAGGAAGAUCUACCUAAGUUGUGCUUAAGUGAGAGAUACUUGAGUCAAUUAGUAAAAUCAGGAGUCUUGUUUGAUAGUUUAUAUGAAAAUUCAGUGAGUAAUUUUUUUUUUAACAGCUGUUCAUGGUUUAAACUGCUCUCACUAUAAAAAUUGCUUUUGCCUUCGUUUCUUUGGUUAUUAAGAUGUUUCAGUUCACUAGGUUGUUUCUUGCCUACCCUUGGAAUCAACCGUAAGGAUAAUCUAUAUCAGGAAUUCUUGAACCUAUGUAUAUUUUUAACUACCCAAAUCAUUUCGUUGCUUACUUCUUUGAAUUACUUACUAUUACCUUUGACUGAAUUGACUAGAAAGGAGUUACAUUAGUAUGGGAUAACAAUUGAGGAAGUAGUUUUCAAACUCUUAAGGAAAGAUUGACUAGUGUUAAUAUUACUAGAUUUUAGUAAGAUUAUUGUGAUAUAUAAAUAUGUCUCUGAAAAUAGGUUUAGGAAGAAUAUUGUGGCAAGAAGAAAAGAUAGUAGCUUAUGUUUCUAAGAAAUUGAAAAUUCAUGAGAGAAAUUACCUUACCCAUAACCUUGUUAGCGACUUUGUCAUUUAUACUAAGAUUUGGAGACACUAACUAUAUGAUUCUAUGGUUGAGGUAUUUAGUGAUCAUAAGAACCUUAAAUAUCUUUUGACCAAAGGGGUUGAAUACGAGAUAAAAGAAAUAGUUGAAAUUUCUUAAGGAGUAAAAUUUUGAUCUUAUUAUUUGGCUAAAGCCAUUGUGGUGAUUGAUGUUUUGAGGAAAUCUUUAUCUUUCAUUAUGAUUAGAGAGAUGAAUCUUUUUGGCUCAAAUUAGAAAUUUAAGUUUGGAUUAUAAGGUUACUUCUAGUAUUGUGAGAUUAAGUAUGAAUAACGAAUGGAUUGUUGAAGAAAAUUAUAGGAGCAUAAUUAGUUGAUUUAUUUUGGUAACAAGUUAUAAGGCUAUAGGUUAAGGUGAUGGAUAUGAUUAUGACUUGGGUGAAGAUGAAAUGGUGAAACUAGAGAACUGAUAUGGAUACCGAGUGUACAUUAUGCUUAGGUGUUGAUGUUGUGGCAAAUAUCUGGAUUACAAUGAUAACCAAAUUAUUAUUUUGAUGAUUUAAGGAUUGAAUUUGAUUGCAGAAUUUAGAAACUUAUGCUUGAUGUGUAAGAUUACCCUAGUAGCAUUGAAUUAUUUAUGUUGGAAGUAACUAUCAGAUUAAUAGAUGAGAUUAGAGGAACUAGGAGUUAGAUCCUUUAUUAGUGACCCAAAUAAGCAAGAGAUUAGAAAGGACACAGUUGGAUGUUUAGUUAUAAAACUUGAAAGGACAUAAGAGUACUCUUAACAUUUAUUUAGGAGUUACUAAAAUGUAUCAGAGUGGCGCAAGGGAAGCGUGAUGGUCUAAUAUGGAAAGAGAAGUAGAGAACUUGAAUCAAGAUAUGGAGAGUGAGUUUAAAUUUGGAGUGGAUGGAGUUUUGAGAUUUAAGGAUAAGUUGUGCAUUCCUAGUGUGCUAGAAUUUAAUAAAGCAAUCCUAGAAGAAGGUCAUAAGAGUAUCUUUAGUAUCCAUUCAGAAACUACUAAGAUGUACCAAAAUCUUAAGAAGAUAUUUUGUGACCUAAGAUGAAGAGAGGAGUAAAGCAAUUGUAUAUUUAUGGUUAGCAUACUAGAAGUUUUUAAGAAUCUUGUAGCACUUAGAUGCUCCAUUUUGGAAGUAAGAUGGUGAAUAGAUAGACCCUAGUGGAAGAUUUGUCUAAGACGCUUAAGAAAUUGAUUUUGUUUGUGUUUAAGUGGAUAAAUUCGUCAAGAUCUUUCCUUAAGCAAAUCCUUUGAGGAAAUUGAUAAAAGUUGUACAUCAACAAGGUAGUGAUGUUGCAUAA